UUGGACUCUUUCUUGAAAAUGUUAGAUUCAUUUGUGCUUAUAAUACCAAUAAGAAUAAACCAGCUUAUCUCUUGCUUGAACAUGUGCAGCGUUGUCUCAUUUAUCUCAUUUGGAGUUCAAUUUUUUCUCUGCUACGUGCAUGCCAAGGCAAAGGUUUGUUACUGUCUCAAACUUCAAUUAAACCAAAUAUUCAUGUCAUUUCAUGCUAACCAAUCACAUAAAUACUUUCUUUUUGGCUAGGAUUUUGAUUCCUAUAUGUUUAUGGUUAUCUCUUUCACAAGUAUCAGGCCACUUUCAAUACUUAAUUCGUAUGUAUGCAUAAUAUUAUUUACCUUGGUUUAUUAUUUUUAAUUUUUUAGGGACUUCUUGAAAACAUGCGAGAGAUGCUGGAUUGGUUUGGAAAAUGGCGGAGGAUUGCUUAGGUUAAUUAGUUUGUCUUGUUUUAAUUAGUAUGAAUAUCAUAUGGUUGCUUAGGUUAACUUAUAAGUUAGUUUUGGUGGGUGAGACUUAUGUAUUGAAUAUCUAUAUGUAUGUACAAUUGUAUAUUAUUCUUGUUAUAUUAGAAAAGUACUUGAUAUUAUUUGUUAUAGUUUUUAAUGACAAGU
rnacentral:lncRNA from 1 species